rnacentral:lncRNA from 1 species
UAUCCUCUCACACGGAUAAGACACGUUCGACGUUGUUUUAAAAAUGGCAGAAAGGUGGGGCGUGUGCAGAAAAAUUAAGAGAAAGAAAGUGGGGCGUGAGGAAGGCUUGUGUGUGAGGUGAAGGUCCAAAACCUUCCGAGAGAAAAAGAAAGAAAAUUGGGCGCAGGAUUUUUGGUGUGUACCCUAGGGUUUCUACCUAGGGUUUGGGAAGUGAGAUUGGUGUGCCACGAGUGUCGUGAGUCUACCAAAUUUUAG